UGCUUUCUGUCACUCUAAUAACUUCAUAGAUAUGAAAUUUUGCUUGGAAUAAAACACAGCCAUGUCAGAAGGCUGACAUUGGGGACUAAGUGCCCAAAACAUAUUUCUCAUUUUCUCUUGCUGCAUUUUUCCUUUUUCUCCCUGUGUUUUCUUUUAGCUGCUAGGCUCCAGUUGACUCUGUAUUCAGGUUAGAUAAACCUCACAUGUCCUCCUUGGAAUGGGUAGUGUCCUGUUCAUGUUUAUUGUUUUCUUACAGUACUAGUCCAGCUUUUUUUUUUUUUUUCCAUGAUGCCUGCUGAAGCAAUAUCUUAAUAACAGGGGAGACAAGAUAAGUAAUACCUUUUCUAAGAGAAAAUAUUCCUGAAUUCUGGCAAAUUCUGAAAUGUUAGUUCAAAAAGUAAACAUCCUUACUUUUUAAUGCGGACUUUUCCACCCUUUUUGGAAAGGGCACAUCCUCUGACAUGAUACACUGUGGUUUCUAGAUAUCAUUAGAUAAUGACUGAUCUGACAGCACCCUCCAGGCACAAGAUUUUACUUUGAUUGGGAUGAGUUGCCAUCAAGCACAGUUCGUUAGGAGAAAAUCAGAGAACACCAGUCUCACUGGUACAGACCCAGCUGGCAUGGGUCAAAUUUAAGCAGGGGAUGUCAUGACUGCAAGAACUGAUCUCUCUAAGCAGUAACAAGAAGUGCCUGGAACUGGAAAGUUGGAACUGUGACUAAACCAUGACGAGUUAGAAGCAUGUGUAAUAUAUGCAUGAAAUCUGCAGCACCCUUCCUUAAAAUUAAUGCAGAUCAAGAGACCCUGAUUGUUUUGGACCACAGAGCAAGAAGCAAGGCCUACAGGCAAGUCCCCUGCCAGCAUUCUUCUCUGGAGAGCAUCAACAGGAAAAGAUCAACCUUGUUUUGUGCAGGUUACUAACAGAAAUUCAAAGCAGGAUUUGAAAGGAGGAUGUUGACACAGAUGAAGCGUCUGACUGUGAUGAUUAGAUAGAGGCAGGCUGGCUUGGCUGCCUGGAAAAGGAGAGACCUCCUCAGGGCUCUGCGUCUGCUAAGGAAUUGAUUUCUGGCUCACAGGUGAGCUCCCCAACUCCUCAAAAAUAGUCUUGCAAGUCCUUGCAGUGUUUUUACAAUAGGAAAAGUGCUAAGAGUACAUCGGAGCUAGGAGGGGAAGUGGGCAGUAGCCCCAGGACUCUCGCUGUAUGUCAUCUGCCCCAAAGCUUGUUGGGCCUUCAAAGGGUCAACGAGGGGUUUAUUGUUAGUCAGCCCUGGGCAGCCAGGCAGGGAUAACUCUGCUCUUGGCAGUCCUGGCACUGUGGAGAAGGAAAGGAGAAAGGCAAAGGGUUGUGGCUUUGCUGCGGUGCCUCCUGCUGCAGUAGCACAAGGUUAGCAAGCUCCAAAUGCUGCUGGGCUGAACUUCUCCAGACAGAGACAGAUGAAAAGUUUUGAGCCAAAAAGAAGUAAGUCUGUUGUAAACGAGUAAAAAUCCCUCAGAUGAGCACCUGGGAAGGAAUAAACUAUAAAUAUGUCUAUCCUGAGGAAGAAUA
rnacentral:lncRNA from 1 species